UGGGGAAUAUUGGACAAUGGGCGCAAGCCUGAUCCAGCCAUGCCGCGUGAGUGAUGAAGGCCUUAGGGUUGUAAAGCUCUUUUAUCCGGGACGAUAAUGACGGUACCGGAGGAAUAAGCCCCGGCUAACUUCGUGCCAGCAGCCGCGGUAAUACGAAGGGGGCUAGCGUUGCUCGGAAUCACUGGGCGUAAAGGGCGCGUAGGCGGCGUUUUAAGUUGGGGGUGAAAGCCUGUGGCUCAACCACAGAAUUGCCUUCGAUACUGGGACGCUUGAGUGUGGUAGAGGUUGGUGGAACUGCGAGUGUAGAGGUGAAAUUCGUAGAUAUUCGCAAGAACACCGGUGGCGAAGGCGGCCAACUGGACCAUCACUGACGCUGAGGCGCGAAAGCGUGGGGAGCAAACAGGAUUAGAUACCCUGGUAGUCCACGCUGUAAACGAUGAAUGCCAGCCGUUGGGGGGCUUGCCUUUCAGUGGCGCAGCUAACGCUUUGAGCAUUCCG
rnacentral:rRNA from 1 species